GGCAGCUUCUCUGUGACCGCUGUGUGGGCAGGGAGUAGCAGGGGGCCGCAGCUGCUCGGGGGGACCGGGACGGGCUGGGCUGAAGGCCCCGAGGGGCGGGGAUGUGGCGCCGAAGGGAGCGCAGGGGGCUCGGUGGCGGAGCGGAGCCGGGGACAGCAGCCGGCCUGGGGUGCAGUCGGUCUGGGAUUGAGGACUGGAGUCAGGGUGGGCGCUGGUGGGCUCAGGAGCUCCGGGGCCAGAGGAAGGGGCGGCCGAGGCACUGGCGGCUUGCGGAGGUCUGGAGUACGGUCACGAUCCUGGGCCUCUUCCUAUUUUGGAGAAAUAAUUGAGGACUGGUUCUAGGGCUGGUUUUACCUGUUGGUAUUGGUCAAAGACACUCACCAAAAUACUUAAAACCCUAGUAGACUUGCUUGUUUGCUGCUGCUUUUGGUUUGUUCACUACCCAUUUGCCUUGCGUGCCUCUGUGUGCCACGACACUUUGCAUCACGCGUUAAGUGGGGACUUGCCUAUGACUGGCAGCCCGACCCUGCCUGAUCAAGCCCAAAUAUAGGUAGUGACCUAGCAACAAGUUUUAACAUUGGGACUUGCUGGCCCACUGCUCCAGCCCGCCGUGCCAGCCUGAGGGCCGACUCCUUGCCAUACACAGCACUCAAUGGGACUGCUCCAGCCUGCAAACCUGGACCCUGUUUUGACCAAGUGGUUGCUGACCACCUGAUGACUUCUGAGAGCCACAGAAGACCUCUCUUGUGUCCGUGGGCCUUCUCGGAUGGCAUGCUCAAUUUGGACUGAACAAGCACCACAGCCCUAUCACGUCAUUUCCAUGUGAAGUCCACAACGUGGCUUUCACUACUUAUAUUUUCCUGUUCAUGCUCUUGGAGCACAAAUAUUGAGACUUUUGACCAGUGAGUACCCUAACUCUCUUUGCUCAAGUUUGUAAAAGUUCAUGCUUAACCUUUCAGCGGCAGUUUGUGCUGCAAGUCUCUCUAGUUACACACAUUUCUAAAGAUUUUUCCUAAAUCAUUUGGCUGUACAGAUGCACUCUGCAAAACAGUUUUACCAACCACAUCAUAGAAUCUCUCUGUGUUAAUUGUAAAGAAGUUUGGAGAAGUUUUAUUUGUAUAAUUAAUAAACUAUUAAAUAAUUUUUUA